CGCCGAGCGCGCAUUGCUGUUGACAACUUUGUUUGGUCUAAAUGUAAACAAAAGAAAAUAAAUAAAACGCUCCACAUGAAGUGCAUCAUGGAAGAUGUUUCGAACAAUAGAAAAACAAAGAAUACAAUUUCACCCCAAAUCAGCACGCUCGGCAGUGUGCGGACAACGGGACGUGACAAGAAACCGAAAGAACCUUACGAUCCGUCCAACAGUUACAUAUCUCGAGGACCACGCAGCCACCAUAACGUCAGCCUCGCAAAAUUCGAAUCGCAUUGAAGGGAUAUGGAUUGAUAAUGUUCCAGUACCAAGCGUGAAGCAGCGCCGAUUUACCGAUACAUGCAUGGGAUGCGGCGGAUGUGAGCCAAGGCGUGGCACUGGCUACAGAAGUAACUUUCUAAGCUGAAAGGCGUGCAAUUUGAAAUGGCAUUUUGAGUGCUUGCCGAUGCAGUUUGCAGCUUUAAUCAAUUCACGCUAAAGAUACAAGUGCGAUUUAUGCCGAUAUUGCCGCGUGACAAAGAAAAUGGCGAGAAUCAGCAGCCGAUUACAACAGGAUUACCCAUGAAGGCCGUCUUUGCCUGGAGCACUAAAAAAGUAUAUGACUUUGUUGAGCAGUAUUGUCCUCAGUACGCAGACAUCUUUACGGAUAACAAAAUUGAUGGCACUGCAUUAAUGGUGCUUUCACGCGGCGAUAUCAUUAAUCGUUUCGGUCUGGAGCUUGGAAAAGCCCUGGACAUCUACGAUAUAGUCGUUGGCUUGCAGAAUUCUACCAAUGAUUUUACCCUCGCUUGGUAUGAUUAGUUUCUGGCUUUCUUUUUUAUUAUGUUAUCGUAUCUUUAUUAUCAUUCUGAAGAAGAAAUGUUAGUUGAAGCUCAUUAAUUGGGACCAAUGAAGAUCCACACUAUGCUUUCCCCAUUCUUAUUACACAUCAAACAUAUAUUUUAAUGUUUAUGUUUUACUAGUUGAUGUACGUUAAGUAGAAUCAAUCUCGUUAUUAUUACAAAUUAUUCAAACGUUUAAGACCUGAACGGAAAAGAAGAGUGAUAAACCUAUAAGAUAGGGAUAUGUACAUAUAUAAAUAUAAUUAA
rnacentral:sRNA from 1 species